rnacentral:lncRNA from 1 species
AUGCAUUUCAGGAGCCAGGCAGUACACUUGGACCCCUCACAGGCCUGCUGUCUUUUCCACACCAUGCUGGCUUUGUUGGACGAUCAGCUAGGGCGUCUGGUGCUGGCUGAAGAAAACAACUCUAAUAUGGUGCUCAAGCACAAUCUGCGCCGCUCCAAGCUCUUUCUACAGGCCAGGUAUCAAGAUCAGCCGGAGCAGUUGGCCAAUGUCAUUGCUAAUCUGCUGAAACAGGAGGAGGUGAUUCUGUCUGAAGCCUUGGCUGCUUCCCAGGUAACAGCCUGCUCGGUGCUCUCCUGCUGGGCUCUGUCACAAUGACGGGUCACAUGUUACAUCCACCCCCUUACUUUCCUUCUAGCAGCUUUGCGCUUUCAGCCAUAACUUGCCCAACCCCCAACUUUGUUUUCCACCCACCAUAUAGCAUAAGAUGCCUAGCCCAAUACUAAUAACCUUUUCUCCAAGAUCUGCAGCAAAAGAUCCUCAUGAAAGUCACUGAAUUGUAUCCAAAUGUUCUCUUGCUUCCCUACCUCUGGACUUGGUUCUUGUUUGCCAGGCCUGGACAUCUUCCUCCUCCUGCCCACCAUGUACUGUUGGGAGAAAAGGGGAUUUAAAUAAGUGAAUGGCAGGACAGAGGUGUUGUAUAGGCAGGAGAACAACACUGAGAGAAACUUGAAGUAUUUACAGAAGAUGAAGGCUAUCCUUUUAACAAAGGACUAGAUCAAGGGUUCAGAACCACUGGCCAAGGGCAAAACCCAGCCCUCUGGGUUUCCCUUGCCAUUUUUUCCUGGCCCCAGCAUUUUGUGAUUCUCCAGCAUUGGUGCAGUUGUUUCCCCCUUCUAAAAGUUUGAAAUACCUCUCUUAAGUCUUUGCUACUGAGAAUAAGAGCUGGUCUCUUUUGUAUUUUGGUUUGGUUUUAUAUUUGGCCCACCCAUCACUGGAAUGUAGUUUUUCAUUCUCAUUCCGCUUUCAUGAAAUGUGGCUCUUGAUAAUUUUGGACUAGAUCAAUUUCAAAUGAAUUUUCAUAGCAGUGAGGAUUAGAAAUUUUAUUAGAAGUUGCUGCCCUUUUUCUGGUGUACUAAAGGGAAAUUUUCCACUUAUCUAUUUUGUUUCUCUUCUAUAAUUCUCAUUAUUGCAGUGCCUUGCCCCUUUUUUUCUUUCUAGUGCUAGAUUUUUUAAACUGUGUUCAGAAAUUUCAAAUGUUCCUCCAUGUCAGUAAUGGUGAACAAACAUUCCUUAAAAAAGCCAGUGUACCAGUUCUGAAAUUCCCCCACACUAUGCACCUGCAAAAGACUGUUCUAGAGUGCACUUUCAGUUCACAUGAGGUGACAAUGAGGACUAGAGACUUAUGACUAGUACUCUCUAAGCUGUACUCUCUAACACAUACCCCAGAAUCUUAUCUAAAGUGUUUGGCUGAUAAGUCAUGUCAAUGUCAAUCCUGAAGAAAUAAGUUUG